rnacentral:rRNA from 1 species
GGUUAAGCGACUAAGCGUACACGGUGGAUGCCCUGGCAGUCAGAGGCGAUGAAGGACGUGCUAAUCUGCGAUAAGCGUCGGUAAGGUGAUAUGAACCGUUAUAACCGGCGAUUUCCGAAUGGGGAAACCCAGUGUGAUUCGUCACACUAUCAUUAACUGAAUCCAUAGGUUAAUGAGGCGAACCGGGGGAACUGAAACAUCUAAGUACCCCGAGGAAAAGAAAUCAACCGAGAUUCCCCCAGUAGUGGCGAGCGAACGGGGAGCAGCCCAGAGCCUGAAUCAGUGUGUGUGUUAGUGGAAGCGUCUGGAAAGGCGUGCGAUACAGGGUGACAGCCCCGUACACAAAAAUGCACAUACUGUGAGCUCGAUGAGUAGGGCGGGACACG